AUUUAAAUAGUUUAGUUAAAAUUUUGAUUUGUGGAAUCAAGGAUAUGAGAUAAAAUAUCAUUUUAAAUA
rnacentral:tRNA from 1 species